CCUACGGGAGGCAGCAGUGGGGAAUAUUGCACAAUGGGCGCAAGCCUGAUGCAGCGACGCCGCGUGAGUGAUGAAGGGCUUCGGAUCGUAAACCUCUGUCAGCAGGGAAGAACGGUCACUGUGCUAAUCAGCAGUGAAUUGACGGUACCUGCAAAGGAAGCACCGGCUAACUCCGUGCCAGCAGCCGCGGUAAUACGGAGGGUGCGAGCGUUAAUCGGAAUUACUGGGCGUAAAGCGCGCGUAGGCGGUAUGUCAAGUCAAGGGUGAAAGCCCCGGGCUCAACGUGGGAACUGCAUUUGAUACUGGCAAGCUAGAGUGUGUGAGAGGAUGGUGGAAUUCCAGGUGUAGCAGUGAAAUGCGUAGAGAUCUGGAGGAACACCAGUGGCGAAGGCGACCAUCUGGA
rnacentral:rRNA from 1 species